rnacentral:rRNA from 1 species
CCUACGGGAGGCAGCAGUGGGGAAUAUUGGGCAAUGGGCGCAAGCCUGACCCAGCAACGCCGCGUGAAGGAAGAAGGCUUUCGGGUUGUAAACUUCUUUUCUCAGGGACGAAGCAAGUGACGGUACCUGAGGAAUAAGCCACGGCUAACUACGUGCCAGCCGCCGCGGUAAUACGUAGGUGGAAAGCGUUAUCCGGCGUUACUGGGUGUAACGGGCGUGUAGGCGGGACGGCAAGUCAGAUGUGAAACCCACGGGCGCAACUUGUGGACUGCAUUUGCUACUGUAGAUCUGGAGUACUGGAGAGGCAGACGGAAUUCCUGGUGUAGCGGUGAAAUGCGUAGAUAUUAGGAGGAACACCAGUGGCGAAGGCGGUCUGCUGGACAGCAACUGACGCUGAGGCGCGAAAGCGUGGGGAGCAAACAGGAUUAGAUACCCCUGUAGUC